rnacentral:lncRNA from 1 species
GUUGGGGCUCCCGGGCCGAGGGCAGCCCAGGGUUUUGUUUUAUUUUAUUUUAUCUAUUUAUUUAUUUAUUUUUUUGGUAAGGUUUGUUUUUCUGGUUGAUGGCUCCCAGGGGCGGCCUCCUCUCCCUCUCCAGGACUUCUCAGAAUGCUAUGAACGGGAAGGAAUCUUCUCGCCGGCUUCUCCUAAUCGAUAUCUGUGGAGUUCCGAGUCUGUGUGGGUAAAACCGUCCAGUUGUGAGUUACCGAGACAGUGCUUGCUUGAUCGGAAGAUGUGCCUGGAGAGAGGUCCUGUGUCUGUCCAGCUUAACAGUACCGCAGUUGUACCUAGCGCCUGGAUGACAGCUCGGGAGUGAGAGAGACACCAUUAAGAACAAAAGAAAAGGAUUCUUCAGAACAACAGUAAUGGAAGACAGUAAACGUGGAGCGAAUUUUCCCAGAAUGAAAACAAAUGUGAGGUGUAAAGAUGAUGAAAACUUUAGAAGAAGAAAGAGGAAGUGAGAUGCGAACAGGAGUCAG